rnacentral:rRNA from 1 species
UACGUAGGGUGCGAGCGUUUAAUCGGAAUUACUGGGCGUAAAGCGUGCGUAGACGGUUAUGUAAGUCGGGUGUGAAAGCCCCGGGCUCAACCUGGGAAUUGCAUUCGAGACUGCAUAGCUAGGGUGCGGAAGAGGGAAGCGGAAUUUCCGGUGUAGCGGUGAAAUGCGUAGAUAUCGGAAGGAACACCAGUGGCGAAAAGCGGCUUCCUGGUCCAGCACCGACGUCAGGCACGAAAGCGUGGGGAGCAAACAGG